CCGCAGCUAUNGUAAUGNGUACGAGGCUAGUGNUAAUUGGAGNUACUNAGCGUACAGCUUGCGCGUGUGGUAUUGUAAGUGUGUCAUCACAUCCCUCGGCUCAACAUGGGAAUGGAGAUGGGCACUGCAAGACUAGAGUUUGGCAGAGGGGGGUAGAAUUCCACGUGUAGCAGUGAAAUGUGUAGAUAUGAGCAGCAACACCGAUGGCGAAGGCAGCCCCCUGAGUCAAAACUGACGCUCAUGCACGAAAGGGUCGGGCGCAAACAGGUUCCGAUACCGUGCUAGUCCACGCCGUAAUCGAUGUGUAGUAGUGAUCGGGUAUCUAUUGNGCUUCGUAACGCAGGUAACGCGUGAAGUACACCGCGUGUGGAGUACCGUGGCAAGAUUUAAACUCAAAGGAAUUGACGCGGCCCCGCACAAGCGGCGUAUGAUGUGGAUUAAUUCGACGCGACGCGCAAAACCUUACCUACCCAUGCCAUGGACGGAAUUCAGGAGAGAUUUGGCAGUGCCCGAGGGAGCCAUUACACACAUGGCGCAUGGCAGUUGUCAGCUUGUGUCGUGAGAUGUUGGCCUAAGUCCCGCACCGACCGCAACCCUUGUCAUCAGCUGGUANAGNNAAANNNNGAGCACUCUAAUGAGACUGCCGGUGACAAACCGGAGGAAGGUGGGGAUGACGUCAAGUCCUCAUGGCCCUUAUGGCUAGGGCUUCACACGUCAUACAAUGGUACAUACAGAGGGCCGCCAACCCGCGAGGGGGAGCUAAUCGCACAAACUGUAUCGUAGUCCGGAUUGCAGUCUGCAACUCGACUGCAUGAAGUUGGAAUCGCUAGUAAUCGCGGAUCAGCAUGUCGCGGUGAAUACGUUCCCGGGCCUUGUACACACCGCCCGUCACACCAUGGGAGCGGGNUUCACCAGAAGUAGG
rnacentral:rRNA from 1 species